rnacentral:rRNA from 1 species
UACGAAGGGGGCUAGCGUUGCUCGGAAUUACUGGGCGUAAAGCGCACGUAGGCGGUCUUUUAAGUCAGAGGUGAAAUCCUGGAGCUCAACUCCAGAACUGCCUUUGAUACUGAGGAUCUUGAGUUCGGGAGAGGUGAGUGGAACUGCGAGUGUAGAGGUGAAAUUCGUAGAUAUUCGCAAGAACACCAGUGGCGAAGGCGGCUCACUGGCCCGAUACUGACGCUGAGGCACGAAAGCGUGGGGAGCAAACAGG